rnacentral:rRNA from 1 species
GACGAACGCUGGCGGCGUGCUUAACACAUGCAAGUCGAACGGUAAGGCCCUUCGGGGUACACGAGUGGCGAACGGGUGAGUAACACGUGGGUGAUCUGCCCUGAACUUCGGGAUAAGCUGGGGAAAUGGGGUCAAAUACCGGAUAGGCCAACGGCCGUCAUGGGGGUGGGGGGAAGGCCUUUGCGGUGUGGGAUGGGCCCGCGGCCUAUCAGCUUGUUGGUGGGGUGAUGGCCUACCAAGGCGACGACGGGUAGCCGGCCGGAGAGGGUGACCGGCCACACUGGGACUGAGAUACGGCCCAGACUCCUACGGGAGGCAGCAGUGGGGAAUAUUGCACAAUGGGCGCAAGCCUGAUGCAGCGACGCCGCGUGAGGGAUGACGGCCUUCGGGUUGUAAACCUCUUUCAGCACCGACGAAGCGCAAGUGACGGUAGGUGCAGAAGAAGGACCGGCCAACUACGUGCCAGCCGCCGCCGUAACAC